rnacentral:lncRNA from 1 species
UUACAUUAAAAGAAAAAAAAAGAAAAUUGCUUUGGUUAUAGGAGAUCCCAAUUAGUUAUUUUAGAGAUAGAGUUAAGUUCAGAAUUAAAGUGGGAUUAAAAUAUUUUUAUAUUUAGUUAGAGGUUGGAGUUAGUUUAGGAUAGUGAAAAAUAAUAUUUGGCUGGAGUAGAUGGGAUAAAAAGGAUAGUGGAUUAUUAUGAAUAGAAAAUAAUGUUUGGUUGAGAUUUGGUCGGAUUAGGUAGGGUUAGCUAAUCCGGUAUAGCUCAUUUGAGAUGAGAUUAGCUAACUCCAUCUAUUUUUUGGAGUGUUUAGAAAUAAUAUGGAGGUUAAGGAGUUAUUCCACCCCUUAACCCCCAACCAAAAGAGACUAGGAGUUUGAUACUCGAAUUAUAUAUUUAUGAAAUAUAUAUGUGUGAGU